UAAGGAAUAUUGGACAAUGGACGCAAGUCUGAUCCAGCCAUGCCGCGUGAAGGAUGAAUGUCCUCUGGAUUGUAAACUUCUUUUAUAGGGGGCGAAAGUGAGUUUUUCUAAGCUUUUUGACGGUACCCUAUGAAUAAGCACCGGCUAACUCCGUGCCAGCAGCCGCGGUAAUACGGAGGGUGCAAGCGUUAUCCGGAUUCACUGGGUUUAAAGGGUGCGUAGGCGGGUAAUUAAGUCAGUGGUGAAAUCCCGGAGCUAAACUUCGGAACUGCCAUUGAUACUAUUUAUCUUGAAUAUUGAGGAGGUAUGCGGAAUAUGUCAUGUAGCGGUGAAAUGCUUAGAUAUGACAUAGAACACCGAUUGCGAAGGCAGCAUACUACGGAAAUAUUGACGCUGAGGC
rnacentral:rRNA from 1 species